rnacentral:tRNA from 1 species
GUGGCCGCCCGUUGGGGCACCCAGGCGUGCCGAAUAUGCGUCGCUAUCACACUGGCAGUGUGGGGGUCAGGGGUUCGAAUCCCCUCAGCUCCA